CCUACGGGUGGCUGCAGUGGGGAAUAUUGCACAAUGGGGGAAACCCUGAUGCCGCAACGCCGCGUGAAUGAAGACGGUUUUCGGAUUGUAAACUUCUGUUCUUAGUGAAGAAUAAUGACGGUAUCUAAGGAGCAAGCCACGGCUAACUACGUGCCAGCAGCCGCGGUAAUACGUAGGUGGCAAGCGUUGUCCGGAAUUACUGGGUGUAAAGGGAGCGCAGGCGGGAAGCCAAGUCAGCUGUGAAAACUACGGGCUUAACUUGUAGACUGCAGUUGAAACUGGUUUUCUUGAGUGGGCGAGAAGUAUGCGGAAUGCGUGGUGUAGCGGUGAAAUGCAUAGAUAUCACGCAGAACUCCGAUUGCGAAGGCAGCAUACCGGCGCCCUACUGACGCUGAGGCACGAAAGCGUGGGUAUCGAACAGGAUUAGAUACCCUGGUAGUC
rnacentral:rRNA from 1 species